ACAACCCUGCUUCUGCCAUCACAUUUCCUCUUCUGACUCUCCUACCUCUUUUUUCACUUAUGAGGACUCCUGUGAUUAUAUUGGGCUCACCCAGAGAUUCCAGGAUCAUCUCCCCAUCUGAAGAUACUCAACUUAAAAUCACAUCAGCAAAGUCCCUUUUACUACAUAAAAGAACGUAAUUACCGGUUCUAGAACUUCACUGGGCAGUGUGACGUUGGCCAUCAUUUGGCCAAUAUGAAAGGGAAAGAACUGAAAGUGGAGAAAGCCCACCACAGGAAGGUAACACACUUCCAUCAAGCAACUCUCUGACUGAGGAACUAAGCAAUGUCGCCCGGCUCCACGAUGUUCCCAAAGGUCCUGCAACACCACUACCACCCACACUUCCCUGAAGGGAGAAGAGCUUUGUCAAAGGUUUCCUGGUAAAUCAAAAGCACUUUGUGGAUACGAAUAAUGUGCGCUUCACCUGAAUGAGACCUAGUUAUGUAUGUGGUGCCCUCCAAAACGAGUUCUUGCUGGCUCCAGUCAACCAAAUGCUUUAAAUCCUAAAUGAAUGAGGAGGUUUGAGAAACUGCUAUAGUAACUAGGUUGAGUUAAACAAAUACACCCAAGUUUUGCAUGGUUCUGUAUUCCUCCAAACUAAAUAAAAUUUGCACAGCUUAGCUGCUCAGAUAUACUUUUGGGGCUAUCCUUUUGAGGUCACAAAAUGACAACGGUGCUAUGUGCUCUGCGCUGUGAAUACUGUGAUAACUCUAUGAUCCAACAGACAUUUUCAGGGGUGUUAUGAUUCUGUGUCAGACCCUGUGAAAAGUCAAGGGAAAGAAAGACAAUGAACCAACUUCUUAAAAGUUUUCCACGGCAGCAGGAGAAGAUAAGUACAAUUUUACAUAAGAAAAUGUACUAAUAUUAUAAUCGAGGAAUGAAUCAAGUUCUGAGUACUUAAAGAUAGUCAAAGUCUGUUUUAUGUGAGCGAUUAAGCAGACUUCCCAGCAGAGAUGAUGUUGAAACCUUCAAAGACUGCAUCAAAUAGGAUCCUAGAGACAUUGCAAGCCGGGAGAGGAAACUGCAGGAGGACACAAAUCUUGAGCAUAGCUCCUGUUAUGGGUGC